rnacentral:lncRNA from 1 species
GCUUGCAGGGAAACGCAGAGGCGUCCGCGGACGGAGGGAUUUUCCUGCCGUCUCCCCGGCAGCCCGGGCAGGAGAGCUGGGCACUUGCUAGGUGACGUACGGGCUUACGUGGGAGUCGAUGCCCGGCACCGCUCGGCGAGCGCCUUUUCUCCUGAGAUGCCGCUUCGCUGCAGCUCGCACCCCCCUUUCCAGGCGGGGAGGGGUGGACGGGAGGGAGGAAAAAAGGCACAGAAAAGCAGCCCCCUGUUUUCCUGCUCGGGAGACGAGCCCCGGCGCUCCGAAAGUGAGCGAGGGAGCGGGCGAGGGGAGGGCGCCGGGAGGCGGCUCGGGAGGACUGGGGGGGAGGACCCUCCUUUUGGGGGACCGAGGGCCGGCGGAGGGGGGCGAGGCAGAGGCUGGCGGCGCCGCGGGCACCCCGAGACACGACUACGCGUUUGUGGAGUGGGAUGCCUUGGGAAGGGCAGGGACGUCUCCACCUGAACAAGGAGAGAUCCCAGUGAGAGGAGAAGGGACCUUUCAAGCCUUGCCAGGAGGGAGGGUCCAACCUGCUUCUCCGAUGGCCCCAGAGAAGAGGUGGCUUUUGCUCAUGAACACAGAGGGUUUCUGCAUUGCUUCAAAUCCCCUCGGUCCACCCUUGCGGAGGGAGCCAGGGAAACCCAGGAAGCCAGGAGAAAAUCCCAUGUAACUCCUGUAUGUUGUGUCURUCUUUGGUGCCCUAAAUACCUCUGGGCAAGAUUGUCCUGCUUGGGCAGAGAGAUCUAAGCAAGCCACUGUCUCAACUGGCAAAACACUGUGUGCAGGAAGGUUAGAGGGAGCAGCAGGACAAUCCGAGCUGGCGGAGUAGUUUUGUAGCACCGGGGAACAUGCAGGUUGGGCUUUGAGCAUGGAGYGCAGCCAUCCUGGUGGGGCUGUGUGUGUAGAGCCUGCAGGACUGCACAUCUCUCUGGGCCGGACAGUCCUGCUGCUCUUUCAUUGCCCUUGUCUCUGUUCUUGUAAGAGAAAUGUACUGGCUGUAAUUCCCUUCCAUUAAAAUCGACCCCCACCCAAUGCACUGCUGAAAAUAAACACUCUGUUUUAUGAAAAUGAGCCGUGUGA